CAUGUACGGGAGGCAGCAGUGAGGAAUAUUGGUCAAUGGUCGGAAGACUGAACCAGCCAUGCCGCGUGCAGGAAGAAUGCCUUAUGGGUUGUAAACUGCUUUUAUAUGGGAAGAAUAAGGAGUACGUGUACUUUGAUGACGGUACCAUAUGAAUAAGCAUCGGCUAACUCCGUGCCAGCAGCCGCGGUAAUCAUG
rnacentral:rRNA from 1 species